rnacentral:rRNA from 1 species
AGAGUUUGAUCAUGGCUCAGAACGUACGCUGGCGGCACGCCUAACACAUGCAAGUCGAACGAAGUAGCAAUACUUAGUGGCAGACGGGUGAGUAACAUGUAGGUAUCUGCCCUUUGGCCUGGAAUAACACGAGGAAACUUGUGCUAAUACCGGAUAAGUCUUUACGGAGAAAGCUUUAUGCACCAUUGGAUGAGCCUGCACUUGAUUAGUUUGUUGGUGGGGUAAUGGCCUACCAAGACUGUGAUCAAUAGCUGAUUUGAGAGGAUGAUCAGCCACAUUGGGACUGAGACACGGCCCAAACUCCUACGGGAGGCAGCAGUGGGGAAUCUUGCACAAUGGAGGAAACUCUGAUGCAGCGAUGCCGCGUGAGUGAAGAAGGCCUUUGGGUUGUAAAGCUCUUUCGUCGGGGAAGAAAAUGACUGUACCCGAAUAAGAAGGUCCGGCUAACUUCGUGCCAGCAGCCGCGGUAAUACGAAGGGACCUAGCGUAGUUCGGAAUUACUGGGCUUAAAGAGUUCGUAGGUGGUUGAAAAAGUUGGUGGUGAAAUCCCAGAGCUUAACUCUGGAACUGCCAUCAAAACUUUUCAGCUAGAGUAUGAUAGAGGAAAGCAGAAUUUCUAGUGUAGAGGUGAAAUUCGUAGAUAUUAGAAAGAAUACCAAUUGCGAAGGCAGCUUUCUGGAUCAUUACUGACACUGAGGAACGAAAGCAUGGGUAGCGAAGAGGAUUAGAUACCCUCGUAGUCCAUGCCGUAAACGAUGUGUGUUAGACGUUGGAAAUUUAUUUUCAGUGUCGCAGCGAAAGCGAUAAACACACCGCCUGGGGAGUACGACCGCAAGGUUAAAACUCAAAUGAAUUGACGGGGACCCGCACAAGUAGUGGAGCAUGUGGUUUAAUUCGAAGAUACGCGCAGAACCUUACCAACACUUGACAUGUUCGUCGCGACUCUAAGAGAUUAGAGUUUUCGGUUCGGCCGGACGAAACACAGGUGCUGCAUGGCUGUCGUCAGCUCGUGUCGUGAGAUGUUGGGUUAAGUCCCGCAACGAGCGCAACCCUCACUUUUAGUUGCCAUCAUUUAGUUGGGCACUCUGAAAGAACUGCCAGUGAUAAGCUGGAGGAAGGUGGGGAUGACGUCAAGUCCUCAUGGCCCUUACGUGUUGGGCUACACACGUGCUACAAUGGUAUCUACAACAGGAAGCAAGACUGCGAAGUUAAGCAAAUCCUUAAAAGAUACCUCAGUUCGGAUUGCACUCUGCAACUCGAGUGCAUGAAGCUGGAAUUACUAGUAAUCGUGGAUCAGCGUGCCACGGUGAAUGCGUUCCCGGGUCUUGUAGA